UACGAAGGGGGCUAGCGUUGUUCGGAAUUACUGGGCGUAAAGCGCACGUAGGCGGAUUGUUAAGUCAGAGGUGAAAUCCCGGAGCUCAACUUCGGAACUGCCUUUGAUACUGGCAAUCUAGAGUCCGGAAGAGGUUAGUGGAAUUCCCAGUGUAGAGGUGAAAUUCGUAGAUAUUGGGAGGAACACCAGUGGCGAAGGCGGAUAACUGGGCUGUAACUGACGCUGAGGCGCGAAAGCGUGGGGAUCAAACAGG
rnacentral:rRNA from 1 species